UGUGGCAGAAUAGUGCAGUAAAUUUAAAAUUUACUUAAAAAGUUAAUCUUUCCUUAGA
rnacentral:tRNA from 1 species